rnacentral:ncRNA from 1 species
UAAAGUUAAUUUAUAUUUUAUAUUAAUUUAUAAGUUUAAUAUAAUAUAUGAUUUGUUAAAAAAAAUUUUUAUUAAAUGAAUAAAUUUUGGUUUAAUUAGUAAGAUUAUUAUGAUUUAAGAAAUUAUUAUUUUGUAAAAUUUUUAUUAUCAAUUAAUGAAGUGCCAGCAAUAGCGGUUAGACUUUUAGAUAGGAAAUUAAUUUAUUUUUAGUUAAAUUAAGUUAAUAAAAUUUAAUAAAUUUAUUUAAAUUAAAAAUUUUUUAGUGGUAUAUAAAUUAUUUAAAAAAUAUGUUUAUUAAAAUUUUAAUAUUAAAUUAUAAUGAAUAAGUUUAGACUAGGAUUAGAUACCCUAUUAUAAUAUUUUUAAAAUAAAUAAUUAAUAAAGUAAAUUAAAAUUGAAAUAAAUAGAUAUGACGGUAUUUUAAUUAAUUUAGAGGAAUCUGACGUUUAAUUUGAUGAACCACGAUAAGAAAUACUUAAUGUUUUUAUUUUUGUAUAUUUUUGUUGAGAAAAGUUUUUAUUAAAAUAAUUUUGAAUUCGUUUAAUUAAUUUUAUAAUUUUAUUCAAAUCAAUAUGCAAUUAAAUUAAGGAUUAGUUGAAUUACAAUAAAUUAAAUUUAAAUAUUUUAAUUUUAAUAUUAAAAUUAAAUAGGAUUUAAAAGUAAAAUUAAAUAAUUUUUUAGUUUGAAUAUUAAUAUUAAAAUAUGUACAAAUCGCCCGUCAAUUUAAUCAAUUAUUAAAUAUAGUUAGGUUAAGUAAGUCGUAACAAAGUAAAUGUACCGGAAGGUGUAUUUAGAUUAAA